rnacentral:lncRNA from 1 species
AGCUGCUCUGGUCUGAAUGCUAUUUGAGAUAUAAAAUUGUGGGCUAUGUAUGCAAUCUGCCUUGGCUCCCAUAAAAUUAAGAAGUUUAAUUAUUAAUGUAUAUGAGUAUGUUGAGAAAAUGAUAUAGUUCCACUGACUAUGAUAGUCUUGCUGUAUUACCUGCUGUUUUAGGAUAUAGGGAUACAGCAUCUUAAUAUAAUUGACAGUAAGCCUUCUCAUUGUAAAUUAGUCUGAGUGCUUCACAUUGAAACAUGAUUCUUUUUUAAUGUAUAUACCCAUGUUUUCUAAUGCAUGAAAGAAAUAUUACAGAAAUAUUAAAUAUGUUAUUUGCUGGGGUGAAUACCUUGUCUGCAAAAGGCUGAAAUUUAUUAUUUGG